rnacentral:lncRNA from 1 species
UUUAGAAUGGAGAGAUAUUUGCGUUUUUGAAAGACUGCGCAAGCAGGCAGGUGAGAUGGGUCCCCUAGGUCGGUGGAACUUUAUAUAUAUCAUCUUCUUCGACUUUUCCUCAUUUUCCUCCAUUUUUCUUAGUGAAUAACCAGAAAAUUCACAAAACCCACUUCUAUAAUCAGCCAAGUUACAGAUUGUCGUGACUUAAGUCCUUGACAAAAGUUAUUAUACGCGUUGAGCACAUCAACAUGGUAUAAUUUGUUUUAUCUAUAACCUAGCAUAUCAUACUUUGGUGUGUGGACAGCAGGUGUUUGGGAAUAUUUUAAUGUUUUGAGGUGUAUUAAGAACAUAAAAUCAAGGUAAGACCCUUCUUUCAUUGACUCUAGCUUUGAUAAGUCACAAAUAACAAUUUGCGACAGAAAUAUAUAUAUCUUUUAUUGGAUUAUCGUGGUAUCUUCUAUUCUUUUGUGUUGAUUAUGGUCCUACCUUGUUGUAGUAUCGAGUGGAGUUGUGAGUAAAGUUGUAACGCCAUGUGAAUUCAGCGAAAAAAGUAUGUUAAAGCUAUUCCCUACUUACGACAUGUUUCCUUAAAACUUAGGAGCAAUGUAAUUGGGUUGUUAUUCUUGUUAUACUUAUAGCCAUUAUUGUUGAUUGUUGGCUGCUCGAGUUGAUAUAAUCCUCCCUUGUCGGGAUUCCUAUUUAGUUAGUAGCGUCCCUAUGUUGGACACGACUUAGAGGAUAUUUGUAUAGGUUUCUUAUAACUAGAUUGCUCGCUUUUAGCAAUUGGAUUGUUAUUGUUGCCCUUGGGGCUAUUGUGGUUAGCUACAGGAAUGUGAUCUAUGCCUAGAAGGACUAAGUUCUGCCUACAGGGCCAUAUGGAUGCCUAAGAGGGCUAUGAGUUGCCUAUGGGGAUAUAUUGAUGCCUACAAUGUCUAUGAGUUGCCUACAUGGCUAUAUUGACGCCUAAGAAGGCUAUGUGCUUCUUACAGGGCCAUGUUGUUGCCUAAGAGGGCUAUGAGUUGUCUAUAAGCUAUGUUGAUGCCUAAGAGAGCUAUGUGCUACCUACGAGGCUUUAUUAAUGCCUAAGAGGGAUAUGUAACUGCCUACGAGACUAGGGGACUACCGAUUGGGGUAUAUAGACUGAUUGGCACCUUUCAGAAUUAUAGGGGCCUGAAUAGGUGGCCUUGUGUGCUGUUUGUACCCGCCGAGCUUAUGUGGGCUUGGUCAGGUUGUUGUUUUAUUAUUUUUGAUAUGUUAAGAUUGAGAAGCAUGUCAAUACACUUAUCUUAUCCUUGAUCUAUUUAUCGGAUUAUCCAGUCUAUUAUUGAUCUAUAUUAGGAUACCUGCUCAUAGUCUAUUGCCUUUCAUACUCUGUAUAUUAUUUCGUACUGACGUCCCAUUUCCUGGGGGCGCUGCAUUCGUGCAUGCAAGUCUCGACAGACGACCCAGUAGACCUCCUCUGUAGCAGGAUUGACUAUUAUCUGGUUGGCUAGCCCUUUUUUUUCCAGAGCUGCCAAAGUUUGGAGGUUUGUUAGUUUUUGUUGUAUAUAUUUUUAUGGGUAUGUUGGGGCCCUGUCCCGCCAAACUUUACUACUCUUAAAGGCUUGCAGACUAGUGAGUGGGGUGUGGAGCUACGUUAUGGCCAUGCUGGCCUAGUUUGUUUGCUUGUUGAAGCUUGUGAGUUGUUUGAUGUAUUGUCUUGAUUUAUACAUGCUUUCAGUUUUGGUAUGGAGAUCAUGGUGGGCUCCACGGCCCAAUCACUACUUCUGUGCUAGUAGCUGUUUCAUUUAUAGAUAUGUUGACAGGGGCCUUGUUGGCCGAGGGCUUAGUUUUAAGCCAAGAUAUACUUGUUUAUUUUUUUGAUUGCGUGUGGCUGUCAUGCUUUACUAGUAAAUGGUUCAGUAGGGUCGGCUCAGGCCUUAGUUUUGGCAUUAGGAGCCAGUUGCUCCCCUUGAGUUUGAGGCGUGACAAACUUGGUAUCAAAGCAAUGUCGUAUCCUAGGGAGUCUGCAAGCCGUGUCUAGUAGAGUCUUGUUUAUAAAUAUGUUAUGCACCACAUUCGAUAAGCAAGAAGCUAUCGGGCAUGUUAGAAUGGCUAUCCUUCUUUUGCUCACCUCGUGCUGUAGAGCAGUAUCUUAAGUGUUGAGGUUUCUGGCUUAUAAUUGAUAUUUGUAUGUAAAUAGAGAUGGCUGACACCAGAUAGACCACAACUAGCCAAGGACUAGAUACAGCUCUAGGCGAGGUACCGACAAGGUACCACAGGUGGAGGUAGCCCAUUGUGAGACCCAGGGGGGACAUCUUCUCAGCCCCCUAUAGGUUCUCUACCGCUUCAGGAGCCUCCGAGGGCUACAUGACCCCCAGCUCCACCAACAGUACCACCUCUAGUUCCUCCUAUUCCAUCUGACCAGGAUAUCAACAGUGUAGUAUGUAUGUUAGCACAUUCAGUAGCUGCACAAGGCCAGUCAGUUGCGUCAGAUGUAGCCGGACCUUCUGAAGGGCACGAAAUUUCAAGAGUUCGUGAAUUUCUUGCCUUGAAUCAUCCACAGUUUACAGAGACAGAUGGCAGAGAGGACCCUCAGCAAUUUGUUGAUCAGCUUCAUAGGAUCUUUAGAGUCAUGCACGACUCAACGACUAAGUCAGUUGUGUUAGCAGCAUUUCGAUUGCGCGAUGGUGCAGUAUUGUGGUAUGAAAGUUGGGAGAGAUCUAGGGGAAAAGAUGUAGCUCUACCCACUUGGGAUAGCUUUACAGAAGCUUUCAUAGAUCAUUAUUUGCCUCGAGAGAUUAGGGAUGGCCGGGUAGACCAAUUUUUGAACCUCCGACAGAUAGCAUGAGUGUCCGAGAGUACGGGCUGAUAUUUGAUUCAUUACCUAGAUAUGCACCAACAGUUGUUGAUACGAUGAAUGACAGGGUGCACAGAUUUAUGGGAGGGCUUGACUCAGACUAUAUGGACGAUUAUUGUACCACUACACUAAAUCAUAAUAUGGAUAUCUCACUAAUUUAGGCCUUUGCACAAGGAAUAGAGGAUUGUCGACAUCUACAGUAUAUGAGUGAGAAGGUCAAGAGAGAGAGAUAGAAGAGGGCUAGGCCUGUUGUGUCACAGGGAGAUUUUCAAGUUGGUCCCAGACCCUGAUAUUCUAUUAGGCCACCUAGAUCACCACCACAGCAGUUCCAGGGUAGUAGAUUUGAUCAUCAGGGACAGUCAGGCCCAGGUGAGGGUUCACGAGCAUCAGGCUCUCAGCAUCAGAGGGGUUUAGUCCAGUGUAGGACAACCCCUCCGCGUUGCGCUACUUGCGAUAGGAUGCAUUUUGGGAGGUGCAUGCAGGGUUCCACAUGUUGUUAUUAUUGUGGACAGGAGGGGCAGGGGUGGAGAAACUGCCCAACCAUAAGUCAGGGUGGUAUAGGUCAGUAGGUUCCUUCUCAUCAACAUAGUCUACAGGGCGUGGACCCCAGACUCCAGCAGGUAGAGGUAGAUGUGGAGGCAGAGAGGGAACAUCUAGUUUUGGUAGUGGCUAGAAUCGUAUAUAUUCACUAGUCGGCCGACAAGACUCAGAGUCAUCACUAGAUGUUGUGACAUGUACAUUGAUUGUUUACUGCCAUUGUGUUUAUGCUUUGAUAGAUCCUGGAUCUAUUAUGUCUUAUGUUACUCCAUUUAUCGCGGGGAAGUUAUGUAUAGUAGCAGAGUCAUUAGAUUAACCCUUUACUAUAUCUACACUAGUUGGUGAGUCUAUUAUUUCCAGGAGAGUCUAUUGAGGUUGCACGGUAAAAAUUAUCGAUCGUCAGACCUCUGUAGACAUCGUAGAGUUAGAAAUGGUCGAUUUCGACGUUAUUAUGGGUAUGGACUGGUUAGCGUCUUGUUAUGCUAAUGUUGAGUGCAAGACAAAGAUUGUUAGAUUCCACUAUCCAGGAGGGGCAGUUUGGGAAUUGAAUGGCGAUACAACAACACCGAAUGGUAGGUUUAUUUCCUAUCUUAAGGUGAAAAUGAUGAUUACUAAGGGUUGUAUUUAUCAUCUUGUUUGCGUUCAUGAUAUAGAUGCAGAACCACACACUCUUCAGUCUAUUUCGGUAGUUAAUGAGUUUCUAUAUAUAUUUCCAGACGAGCUCCCUAGUAUCCCUCUAGAACGGGAAAUUGAUUUUGCUAUAGAUAUGCUACCAGGUACACAACCCAUAUCUAUCCCUCCUUAUAGAAUGGCUCUUGCUGAGCUAAAAGAGUCGAAGGAUCAGCUGAAAGACUUGUUGGAUAAAGGCUUUAUCAGGCCUAGUGUUUCACCAUGGGGUGCGCCAGUGUUAUUCAUGAGGAAGAAAUAUGGCUCACUAAGAAUGUGUAUUGAUUACCGACAACCGAAUAAGGCGACUAUAAAGAAUAAGUAUCCCCUUUCGAGGAUCGAUGACUUGUUUGAUCAGUUACAAGGUGUUGAGUGCUUCUCAAAGAUUGAUUUAAAAUCAGGGUACCACCAGAUAGGAGUUCGGGAGAAAGAUGUUCCAAAGACAUCUUUUAGAACCAAAUAUGGACACUUUGAGUUCUUGGUAAUGUCAUUUGGAUUAAGUAAUGCCCCAUCAGUGUUCAUAGACCUGAUGAAUAGCAUAUUCAGGCUGUAUCUAGAUGCAUUUCUGAUUGUAUUUAUUGAUGAUAUUUUGGUCUAUUCGCAUUCAAAAGUUGAGCAUGCAAAUCACUUGCGAGAAGUCCUUCAGGUUCUUUGAGAGCAGGAACUUUACACAAAGUUCUCUAAGUGUGAGUUCUAGUUGAGCUCUGUGGCUUUCCUAUGCCAUAUCAUAUCAGAUUCCGGCAUUAUGGUUGAUACACAAAAGAUUGAGGCCGUAAAGACUUGGCCCAGACCCAUGACUGCGACUGAGGUUCGUAGUUUCGUAGGAUUAGCUGGGUACUACAGAAGGUUUGUAGGGGGUUUUCUUCACCUUCAGCACCAUUAACGAAGUUGACUAAAAAAUGGCUAAGUUUCAGUGGACUAAGGUUUGCAAGCAUAGUUUCUAGGAACUGAAGGACAGGUUGACAUAAGCACAAGUUCAAGCAUUGCCAGAGGGUUUAGAGGGCUAUGCGGUGUAUUGUGAUGCCUCUGGUGUUGGGUUGGGGUGUAUUCUAAUGCAAAUGGUAAGGUUAUCGCAUAUGUUUCAAGGCAGUUGAGGAAGCAUGAGAAGAACUAUUCGACCCACGAUUUAGAGUUGGCUGUAGUUGUGCCUGCGUUAAAGAUCUGGAGACACUAUUUGUAUGGCGUUCAUGUUGACAUUUUCACAAAUAAUAAAAGUCUUCAAUAUAUCUUUAGAUAGAAUGAGAUAAAUCUGCGACAACGUCAAUGGCUUGAAUUACUAAAAGGCUACGACGUGGAUAUUUUAUAUCAUCCAGGAAAGGCAAAUGUGGUAGCGAAUGCCCUCAGUCGAAGAUCUAUGGGUAGUUUAUCUUAUUUAGGUGUUGAGAAGUGGGAGCUAGUGUGAGAUCUUCAUUAGUUAGCUAUCUUGGGAGUCAGAUUGUUAAAGGCAGGCGAUAGUUGGGUCACAAUUCAGGACACAACCGUAUCAUCUCUAGUUGUGGAGGGAAAAUCAUGGCAACUAGAGGAUCCUAGCUUAGAGCCUCUCUGAGCCAAGUCCCAUCAUCAUCAGUCUUUAGCAUUUGAUAUAGCAGGAGAUGGAGUCCUCAGAUAUAGUGGUCGAUUGUAUGUUUCGAAUGUUGCAGGGCUUCAACAUCGCAUUAUGGAAGAGGCACAUCAUUCCCGUUAUUCUAUUCACCCUGUUUCAACGAAGAUGUACUAUGAUAUUAAGGAGAUCUAUUAGUGGCAUGGGAUGAAGAAGGACGUUGCUGAGUUUGUGACAUAGUGUCCUAACUGCCAACAGGUGAAGGUUGAGCACCAAAAUCCCGCUGGGCUAGUUCAGGAGAUAGCCAUACCUUUGUAGAAGUAGGAAGCAAUUAAUAUGGAUUUUAUUACAGGGUUACCUCGAACGCGUCGCAAAUUUGACUCUAUUUGAGUAAUUGUUGAUAGACUAACAAAAUCAACCCACUUCUUACCGGUCAGUGCUACUUUUAGGACCGAAGACUAUGCAGGGCUCUAUAUUACAGAGAUUGUUAGGCUACACGGUGACCCAAUAUCUAUUAUCUCCGAUAGAGGAGCAUAAUUUACCUCCAACUUCUGGAAGUCCUUCCAAAGAGGACUGGGAACACAAAUUAAUCUUAGUACAACUUUUCACCCUCAGACAGAUGGCCAGGCUGAGCACACAAUUUUGACACUCGAGGAUAUGUUACGAGCGUGUGUGCUGGACUUCAAAGGAAGUUGGGAUGACCACUUGCCUCUUAUUGAGUUUGCAUACAAUAAUAGUUAUCAUUCCAGCAACGAGAUGAUACCUUAUGAGGCUUUGUAUGGGAGAAAAUGUAGAUCCCCCAUUGGAUUGUUCGAGGUAGGUGAGUCAGGGUUGAUUGGACCCGACUUAGUACAACAGACAGUGUAGUAGGUUAAGCUCAUUCGAGAGAGGUUACUAACAACUCAAAGCCGACAGAAGUCAUACUCAGAUGUGCGACAAAGGGACUUAGAAUUUGAGUGGAUGACUGGGUACUCUUAAAGGUCUCUCCUAUGAAGGGUGUUAUGAGAUUUGGAAAAAAAGGCAAGCUUAGUCCAAGAUUCAUUGGGGCUUACUAGAUCCUUCGAAGGGGAAGGAAAAGUGGCUUAUGUGCUAGAAUUUCCUUCGGGGCUAGAAUCUGUUCAUCCAGUCUUCCAUGUAUCGAUGUUACGAAAGUGCGUAGGAGACCCUUCUCGGGUUGUCCCAGUUGAGGGUGUUCAGAUCACAGAGGAGUUGUCCUACAAGGAAACUCCAAUUGCCAUAUUAGAUCGACAUGUCUGUAAAUUGAGGACCAAAGCGGUGGCUUUGGUUAAAGUAUUGUGGAGAAACAAGAAUAGAGAAGAGGUGACCUGGGAAGCUGAGAAUGGCAUGAGGUCCAAAUAUCCUCACUUGUUUCAUACCCCAGGGUGAUGGCAUAUCAGUUUAUAUUAGUGAAGUGAGGUUAGAUACCUAUCUGAUUUUUUUUAUAAAUAGUUUUUUACAAUUAUUGUUGUUGUCGUUCUAUAUUUGCUCGUACUGUUAUUGCGGAGCUAUAGUGCUUAGCUAUUUAUGUCAUCCUGUGAGACACCUAGGUUACAAUUUCUGUGUUUCAGGUUCCUAGAUAGUCACAUUAAAAAAGGGUACUCUACCUAGAUUUUGGCAAUUCCUAACGACUUAACCUCAUGACUCAGAUUUUUCAUUCGAGGACGAAUGUUUCUAAGGAGGGAAGGAUGUAACACCCCGACUAUUCAAAACAUCUAAAUUAACUCGUAUCUUCGUGGAAAGACCAUGAGGGUGGGUAAUAAAUUAAGAAUGAUGUGUUAUGUGAUAUUUUAAAUGUUCAAGGGUUGUAUCUCAAGUUUAGAAGUUAGGUAAGUGGCAAAAUAAAAGUUGGUGAAAGUUACCGUAAAUUCUUUUUUAAAGAUUUGUCUGAAAUUUGAGUCAAAUGUCUCGGAGGUUUUCUCCCAAUAUAUAAAGAGUUAUAGUACCCACGACCUAUGAAAUCGAAGUUCUACGAAUCUAGUUUCCAACGCAUCAACCCGUUUGUUCAUACAACUUAAGAAUGGAGAGAUAUUUGCUUUUUCGCAAGACUGCGUAAGCAAGCAGGUUAGGUGGGACCCCUAGGUCGGUGGAACUUUAUAUAUAUCAUCUUCUUCGACUUUUAUUCAUUGUUCCUUCACUUUACUUAGUGAAUAACUAGAAAACUCACAGAACCUACUUCUAUAAUCAGCCAAGUUAUAGAUUUUCGUGACUUAAGUCCUUGACAAAAGUUAUUCUACGCGUUGAGCACGUCAACAUGGUAUAAUUUGUUUCAUCGAUAUCCUAGCAUAUCGUACUUUGGUGUGUGGAAAGCAGGGGUUUGGACAUAUUUUAAUGUUUUGAGGUGUAUUACAAACUUAAAAUCAAGGUAAGACCCUUCUUUCAUCGACUCUAGCCUUGAUAAGUCACAAAUAACAAUUUGCGACAGAAAUAUAUAUAUCUUUUAUCGGAUUAUCGUGGUAUCUUCUAUUCUUUGUGUUGAUUAUGGUCCUGCCUUCUUGUAGUAUCGAGGGGGGUUGUGAGUAAAGUCGUUAGGCCACAUGAAUUCAGUGAAAAAGGUAUGUUAAAGUUAUUCCCUACUUACGACAUGUUUCCUUAAAGCUUAGGAGCAAUGUAAUUGGGUUGUUAUCCUUGUUAUACUUGUUGCCAUUAUUAUUGAUUGUUGGCUGCUCGAGUUGGUAUAAUCCUUCCUUGUUGGGAUUCCUAUUCAGUUAGUAGCGUCCCUAUGUUGGACACGACUUAGAGGCUAUUUGUAUAGGUUGCUUACAACUAAAUUGCUCGCUUUUAGCGAUUGAAUUGUUAUUGUUGCCCUUGGGGCUAUUGUGGUUAGCUGCAGGAAUGUGAUUGUCGUGCC